rnacentral:rRNA from 1 species
UACGGGGGGAGCAAGCGUUGUUCGGAUUUACUGGGCGUAAAGGGCGCGUAGGCGGUCAGCACAAGUCAGUUGUGAAAUCUCCGGGCUUAACUCGGAAAGGUCAACUGAUACUGUGCGACUAGAGUGCAGAAGGGGCAACUGGAAUUCCUGGUGUAGCGGUGAAAUGCGCAGAUAUCAGGAGGAACACCGGUGGCGAAGGCGGGUCUCUGGGCCGAUACUGACGCUGAGGAGCGAAAGCGUGGGGAGCGAACAGG